rnacentral:rRNA from 1 species
UGGGGAAUUUUGGACAAUGGGGGCAACCCUGAUCCAGCGACGCCGCGUGAAGGAUGAAGGUCUUCGGAUUGUAAACUUCUUUUGGAGGGGAUGAAUGCCCGAGUGAAUAACUAAGGGUGACAGUACUCUCGGAAUAAGCCACGGCUAACUACGUGCCAGCAGCCGCGGUAAUACGUAGGUGGCAAGCGAUACUCGGAAUCACUAGGCGUAAAGCGCAGGUAGGUGGUUUGGUAAGUCUUUUGUGAAAGCUCCCGGCUCAACUGGGAGAGGUCAAGGGAAACUGCCGGACUAGAGUUUGGUAGGGGAUACUGGAAUUCCUGGUGUAGCGGUGAAAUGCGUAGAUAUCAGGAGGAAUACCUAUGGCGAAAGCAGGUAUCUGGGCCAUAACUGACACUGAGCUGCGAAAGCUAGGGGAGCAAACAGGAUUAGAUACCCCCGUAGUCC